UGCUGUUUUUAAUAUAAAAAGAAUGUUGAGUUUUCAGAGUCUUUAUUGUCAUUUUUUGUGAUAGGACCCUACCAGACUAUAUUUGAAUACGGCAUACCCAUGAAUUCUGGAACUGUUAUUCCUUAACCCAGUUUGGAGGAUAAGAGCUUACCAACUAGUUAUAAAUAUGCUGAGGUGAUGUAUUGCAAAAUAGCCAACAUACAACAAUAUGGAUGACCCUCUGUCUGGUCAACAGGAGUUUAAAUAUGGACGGGACAGUGAUGUGGCAGCUCUUCCCUGGCUCAUUCACCUCUUGCCUUCAUUUGUAAAAGGAAGAAAGAAGAAAGAGGGUCAAUGUGCAACUGAAGCUACUGAUUGUGCUGUGUGAUGAGCAUCAAUCCAUGCUUUGAGAGGAAUGAAUCAGCACAGCCCUGCCUGCACUGCGUUGGGAACAGAAGUUGCAUCCAGAAUUUUUGCAUCAUUCUGGACCAAAAAGCCAUUACCUCCAUGAUGAAGACCACUGAUGCAGCCUUCCACUACAUCAUGAGUAAAACAACUACAGAACUAAAUACCAGGUUGGAACGUAUUUAAGAAAAAUGAAACGUCUUUUGAAUUGAAAUGUCUGUUUUGUUAUGGAAAAAUCUUUAGUAUUGUGAAGGAUAAGCAUUUCUGCCUGCCAGUAAGGUAAUUGCAGUGUAUUUUAAUGUUCAAGUUUUGAGUAGGGUGGCUAAUUUUUUUUAACUCUCAUUUGAUUUAUUAAAGACCUUUAUAAUAAGUGGUUUUCAUGUCACUGCGCUGUGGUAUAAGAUAACUUUCAUUAUUCCAUACUGUAUUCUGUUUUCUAAUUGUAGCUGAGGUAUUUAAAUAAGCAGUGUUAAAUGCAAAGUGUUGUGUGUAUCAAUGUAAAUAUUAAAUGUGAUAUACUUUAAUAAAAAGAGGUUUUUCAAUAUUUCUUGUCAUUUGUCUUUUAUAGAAACAACCCAUUAGCAACAAAAGUGGCUAUUUAUCAGUAUUUU